AGUUGUUGCAGUUAAAAAGCUCGUAGUUGGACCUUGGGCAAGGGGGACAGGUCGGCCGAACGGCUCGACUCGAGUCUCCCGCCUCUUUGGGUGGGCGAGCCGUCGGUACCGUUCAGCCGGCUUACCGUGAAUAAUGUGAAGAGUUUAAAGCGUGCAAUUGCUGCGUUUGCUUGGCUUCAUCUACCUGGAUUAGACCUGGUUCCACUUGUUCUUUUUGUUGCUUUGGGGGCGAUGAAAAUGACCAAUUGGGGGCAUUGGGGGCCUUAAUACUCAGGUGAAAUACGUGAAUUUCCUGAAUACUAACUAGAGCGAAAGCAGUUGCCACGGAUGCUUUCGAUGUUCUCGAUCGACAGUAAGGGGAUCGAAGACAAUCAAAACCAUCCGAUACCUUCACAAUCAUCAAUGCCAACUAUGCCUACUAAGAAUUCGUUAACGACACUGGCGACUCCGUGUGAACUUUCUGAGAUAUUGGGUUCUGGGGGUUCUGGGGGCACUAUGGUCACACUGCUGAGACUUGACGGA
rnacentral:rRNA from 1 species